rnacentral:rRNA from 1 species
CCUGGUGGCGAGUGGCGAACGGGUGAGUAAUACAUCGGAACGUGCCCUGUCGUGGGGGAUAAAUAGUCGAAAGAUUAGAUAAUACCGCAUACGACGUGAGGGUGAAAGCGGGGGACCGCAAGGCCUCGCGCGACAGGAGCGGCCGAUGUCUGAUUAGCUAGUUGGUGGGGUAAAAGCCUACCAAGGCGACGAUCAGUAGCUGGUCUGAGAGGACGAUCAGCCACACUGGGACUGAGACACGGCCCAGACUCCUACGGGAGGCAGCAGUGGGGAAUUUUGGACAAUGGGGGCAACCCUGAUCCAGCAAUGCCGCGUGUGUGAAGAAGGCCUUCGGGUUGUAAAGCACUUUUGUCCGGAAAGAAAGCCUCUGCCCUAAUACGGUGGGGGGAUGACGGUACCG